CAAUGGGGGAACCCUGAUGCAGCGACGCCGCGUGAAGUGAUGAAGUAUUUCCGUAUGUAAAACUCUAUCAGCAGGGNAAGAUAAUGACGGUACCUGCACUAAGAAGCACCGGCUAAAUACGUGCCAGCAGCCGCGGUAAUACGUAUGGUGCAAGCGUUAUCCGGAUUUACUGGGUGUAAAGGGUGCGUAGGUGGUAUGGCAAGUCAGAAGUGAAAGGCUGGGGCUCAACCCCGGGACUGCUUUUGAAACUGUCAAACUAGAGUACAGGAGAGGAAAGCGGAAUUCCUAGUGUAGCGGUGAAAUGCGUAGAUAUUAGGAGGAACACCAGUGGCGAAGGCGGCUUUCUGGACUGAAACUGACACUGAGGCACGAAAGCGUGGGGAGCAAACAGGAUUAGAUACCCUGGUAGUCCAAGGGCGAAUUC
rnacentral:rRNA from 1 species